rnacentral:tRNA from 1 species
GCCGUGGUGGUGAAAUUGGUAGACACGCUAGCUUGAGGGGCUAGUCCUCUAAUUUUUGAGGGUGGAGGUUCAAGUCCUCUCCACGGCACCA